UUUAUUCAUUCAAAAUUAAAUACUAUAUAAACAACAUAACCAAGUAAUAUAUUGUAUCUGUAAUAAUUAGUGUGAUAUAAUUUGUAAUCAAUUAUAUAUUAAUAUUAAAUUUUAAAAUAUCACAUUUAUCGGAUCACAAAGGAGUAGACAUUUUCAUUUUUUACGAAAAUAAAGUACGUAAAAUUUUAUAUAAAAUUACUAUAAAAAUGAAUCAUAAUAUUCAUCUAUUAAUAUGUCUUACUGGUAUUAUUGCUAUUCAUGUUGGUUGGAAUAUGGUACAGAAAUUAAGACCAGAAAAGGAUCAACGUAAACAUCCUUUUAUAGAAUUAUACGAUGAUUUCAUAAAUUCAAGUGACAAUAAAUAAAAUAUUAUUUAGGCAGGUGAUCAAAAUUCUGUUGAUAAUUCAUGGAGGAGCUUUUCGGCCGAUUUUCAUUUUGACUGUGUACCGAAGCACCAGCCUUA